AGCGAACGCUGGCGGCAGGCCUAACACAUGCAAGUCGAACGAUCCUUCGGGAUAGUGGCGGACGGGUGAGUAACACGUGGGAACGUGCCCUUUGGUUCGGAACAACUCAGGGAAACUUGAGCUAAUACCGGAUGUGCCCUUCGGGGGAAAGAUUUAUCGCCAUUGGAGCGGCCCGCGUUGGAUUAGGUAGUUGGUGGGGUAAUGGCCCACCAAGCCUACGAUCCAUAGCUGGUCUGAGAGGAUGAUCAGCAACACUGGGACUGAGACACGGCCCAGACUCUUACGGGUGGCAGCAGUGGGGAAUCUUGCGCAAUGGGCGAAAGCCUGACGCAGCCAUGCCGCGUGAAUGAUGAAGGUCUUAGGAUUGUAAAAUUCUUUCACCGGGGACGAUAAUGACGGUACCCGGAGAAGAAGCCCCGGCUAACUUCGUGCCAGCCGCCGCGGUAACAC
rnacentral:rRNA from 1 species